rnacentral:rRNA from 1 species
UACGUAGGGUGCAAGCGUUGUCCGGAUUUAUUGGGCGUAAAGCGCGUGUAGGCGGCCGGAUAGGUCUGCUGUGAAAACUCGAGGCUCAACCUCGAGCUGUCGGCGGAAACCAUCUGGCUAGAGUCCGGAAGAGGAGAGUGGAAUUCCUGGUGUAGCGGUGAAAUGCGCAGAUAUCAGGAAGAACACCUAUGGCGAAGGCAGCUCUCUGGGACGGUACUGACGCUGAGACGCGAAAGCGUGGGGAGCGAACAGG